GGUAGACAUUACAGUGAAAUGCUGAAUACAACAGGUGUAGUAGACCUUACAGUGAAAUGCUGAAUACAACAGGUGUAGUAGACCUUACAGUGAAAUGCUGAAUACAACAGGUGUAGGUAGACAUUACAGUGAAAUGCUGAAUACAACAGGUGUAGGUAGACCUUACAGUGAAAUGCUGAAUACAACAGGUGUAGUAGACAUUACAGUGAAAUGCUGAAUACAACAGGUGUAGGUAGACCUUACAGUGAAAUGCUGAAUACAACAGGUGUAGUAGACCUUACAGUGAAAUGCUGAAUACAACAGGUGUAGUAGACCUUACAGUGAAAUGCU
ensembl:lncRNA